UCACAUCAAACAUUUCAUAAUUGAGUUUUAUUCCAGUUCAACGGAUGGAGAUAAAUCUCCUUGGUGAUGCAUGGAAUACAUGCUCUUACAUGGCCUUAGAGGUGGACACCUCACCACCUUCUCCUGGAGCAUCUUUCACAGGGUUCUGAGGCUGCGGUUUUGGCGCGGCUGCCUCAGACUCCCCCUUGACAUUUUCCUCAGGCUUCCCCACCGAGGUCUCAGAAGCAGCAUUCUCCGUGGAGGUGCUUCCUCCUACCAGAGGCUCAGGAGCUUCGUUCUGCUCGGUCAGACGGAUUUUCUUACUUGCAGCUUCAAACGUCGCCCAGCAUUGAUGGCAGAUACAGGGCUCAGGCUCCUUCACUACAGCUUUUCGAGGUCUCGACUUCUUCCGUCCCAUGGUAAAUCGAGAGAAUGACGAAGGAGGAAAGGAGGGCAAUUUGCAAGGAGAGGUUGAAGGGCUUUAUAACGAGUACCGGUUUCCCGAAGGAAGGUUUUUUAGGGCAUUUUCGAAUCAAAAUAUUAGAAGUUUCAAGAAUCGAGAUAAC
rnacentral:lncRNA from 1 species